UCCCUUCCAGACCCUUCACCAUCCUUGUUGCUUCUCUUCUGGAUGGUCUCUAAUAGCUUCAUGUCAUUUUUAUAUUGUGGCACCCAAAACUGCCCCCAGCACUCAAGGUGAGGCUGCCCCAGUGCAGAGCAGAGCGGGACAAUCCCCUCCCUUGCCCGGCUGGCGAUGCUGUGCCUGAUGCCCCCCAGGACAGGGUUGGCCUUCUGGAAAACAGUUUCAUGAGCUCUCUUUCUAAAAUGACACUUUUUCAUUUUAUGCAGUUCAGACUGGUAUGUUCUGAUCUUUGGAAUUUAAAUCAGAUCUUUUUGAAAACAUACAUGAAAUUUUCAUUCAAUAAAACACACUAAAUGGAUGCUAGAAAUGUAUUAUAAAUUUAAAUUUUCAUUUCUAGCAUAUGAGAAUAUACUUUACUCAUAGAAGACAUUGCAGUCACUUCUAAAUUUGUGAAAAUUGACAAUGUGCUUGAAUUUGGUACCUUAUCAGAAUAAAGGGACAGAAGAAAGAAAAUGCAACCUGUGAAACAAAUGUCCUUCUAUCUCUUUAUGUAAAAAUAUAAGAUGAGGAUUCAGAUGAGGAUUAACAUUAAAAUCCUAGCUUGAUUCGUACCCCCUGUUUUCCUGAUCAAAGGAAAAUACCCUCAUUAAAUAGGCAGCAACCCUGGAGAUUUGCUCUUUCCAGCCCCUUGCUCCAUGUAUUUCUGGCAUUGCUGUGACCAGAAGACAUGAAAGCAUGAAGGCUACUCUAACUGAUACUCAACUAGUAAUAAGUAGUAAGAGAAGCUGCGAUUUUAAUUAAAAUUUAACUCUCAUCAACAAUCAGUAUCAGGUACUCACAGACAACAUCAAUCAAUCGAUCACUCAUAAUUGGUGUUAUUCUCAGCUAAUUGCUGUACAGUUCUCGAUGUAAAAAAUAAGCAGAUUCAUGAGAACAUGGAUGUUGUGGGAUGCCAACCAAUAAUCUUCCAGGGAAAUGGUGAAAAUAUUCAGUGGAGCAGUUCUACAAGUGAUGAUGGACACAAUAAUAAGUGGAAACAAUAAAAUUAAAAGCAGUGGGAUAAGAUUUGACCAUUAUCUGUAUAGAAACAUAGGCGGCUGUUUAGCAUGCCAUUCUCAUUGAGGCUCAGCAGUGACUUCUGACAGCAGAGAGGUUCAGAAUGUUACAUUUCUGGUAGGUCUUGACAAUUUUAAAAGUAUUUAUCUACCUUCAAAGGUAUCCAUUUUAUAUUAGUUCUAUUUAAGUCUUUUCUCCAUUGAUUGCAGUCUCACUGGCUCACACUAAAGAAGUGUAGUGCUUUGCAAUCAAAAUAUGGAGCCAUAAAAAGGUCAAAAUUACAAAUAAUUACAAUAAUUUGCAAAAUUACAUUAAAACUUCAAAUCCUGAUGACCUACUCAGUGAAAAAAUAAAUUGUAAUACUAAAUGUAAAAUGCACAACAGGAUUCCACUCUCUUGACAAGAGGCCCAAAAAGAUUUUCCAAAAUGAUCCCAUAAUUACAGAGUAAAAUGUAGUACAGAGUUUUAUGUAAGAGAAAAGUAAACUGGCAAAGUUGUUAAUUUAAAAGUCGAGAAAUAGAGUUAUGUUCCUGCACGACCCUGGAGAAACAAACUGUAAUUGACCCUUCCCUGAGAAAUUGGAGUGGACUAGGUGACCUCCAGAGGUCUCUUUUAGUUUCAUCUAUUCUGAGAUUUCAAAUACAGCCCCUCUGCACAAGAAUUAUAUAUUUUGAGUUAAUUACAAGGUUUCAUGCUAUUAUUUUCCCCAAGAAUCCCGACCUGUUCAAGAGACUGAUCUAAAGCUCAUUGAAGGCCACAGCAGUUUUUCCAAUGGACUUCAGUAUGCUCUAAAUAAAAUCCACAAUUCAUAUGAUGGAUGUUGUCUCUCAAAUGAGGGAAAUAGUCUGACUUUUGUUUUGAAAUAAUAAUUAUCACAGCAGUACAGAGCAAGACAGCAAGGAGUACAAUUGCUGUCAAUGCAAAUAUUAUUUAUCAACGGAUAGAACAUUAAACAAAUUAAUUAAUUUGUAGUUAAACAAUAUAUUAAAUACUUUUAAAAUUCAUUUCUCAGUAUGUGAAGCCUUGCAUUUAUAUCUGUAUUCAAUAUAUGACAUUAUCUGAUCUUCCCAUUGUGAAUCAGGGCUUGUUCUGCCUUACUACAGUAACAAUUUAAAAUAACUUCUUUACCUUCAACUGAACUAUUCCCAAUUUAUUCUGAUAUGAACUGGGCCAUAAUCAGGGAGGAAUCAGCUGCACUGUUAUCUCUGUCAUCCUGGUUUAGUGCAGAAAACAUGGAAGUUGGUCCUGGGAUUUGUUAAAGAUUUGCAGUGCUUUGAGCUGCCAACAGAGCAUUCAAUGCUGAAAAAGCUUUGCUUCUGUGGAAGGCAAAAAGGAAUUGCCUCUGUGAAAAUAAGGAACAAUAACGUAUUUAUUCUUUGAUAGCUGCUUAUUUUUUUACUUUGCCUUUUGAUUGUUUUGCUUACAUUACAGUUCUUUCUCUGCCCACUGUACUAAUGUGACAUCUGUUCCAUCUUUGGGGAUCCACCUCUGUCCAGAAAUUAUGUUUUUCCAUCAGUUUUUGUCUCUAUUAAAACACUAGUUUAAAUAAUAUUCAGUUAAAAAAAAAACACACCAAAAAGCCAAGGAAUUACGGAUUCUAGACUGCAGGAAACUGGGCAACUGGAGAGCAAUUACUGAGUCUUGAAAAAAAAUUCUUUACUGCAGAAUCCACAGUUUACUUUCUGGAUUUGAGUGAAAUUAAUUUGUUUUUAUCUUUUGGCUUUGUAGACAUUUUGUGGAAAGUCUGAGUGAAGUGUCAAAGGUAGAAGAAAGCACCUUAGCUUGCUUCAGACUCAUCUCCUUCUGUUUCCUAUGAUUCCUUACAUUGACUAAUUGAGCUUAGCUCAGCUCAGGUGUUCUUUGCAGAGAGACCAUUAAUCUGCCCUGUAACUUUGUAGUCAAAAGCAACAGACCCUCAAAGCCCGACUGUGGUCUCUGGCGGGUAUGUGGAGUGGAUCUGUAGUAAUGGGAGCAGCUGCUACUGAGUGCCACUUUCACAAAAAGCUGGCAUUUUCUGAGUUUGUCGACGACUUAAUUGACCAUUACAAAAGCCUUCGGAAAUAAGCUUAAUGCUACGUAGAAGCACCAAAAGUAUGUUAAAGCCUCAACUGAGGCAAUUUUUAAAAUUUCAAUGUGGUGAGGAGGCUGUGCAUCUUUUGCUAGAGGAUCAAGGCUUUUUUUCUUGGAAAAGAAUACAAGUUUUUGUCUUCAGGAUAUCGUGAAUCUAGAAGUAAUGAAAGUUUUAAGGCUAAUGGUCUUUUGUCUAGAGGGAAUAUAUUGUAUUUCUGUCUUGUAUAAACAACACUUAUAUGCCAGUUAUAUAAUAACUAAAAAUUUCUGACCAGAAGUGUCAAUGCUCGCUAGCUUAUCUCACUUCUGGAUAAAGAGAUUAAGAUACUGAAAUAGAAUUCCCUGAGUAGCAAUAAACUAAAAUUGCAUCACAUUUUAUUUUGAUGACACAUUGUAUUAUUUCAGUUGCCUUUUCACCUUCCUAGUGGAACAGUUGCCUUUGAAAGACUGAAUCAUAUGAUGAAAAGCAAGAAACAUAUGACCUCAGACAGAAGAUAGUUCAGAGUCAGAAAAAAUAAACAAGAAACCUCAUUUUUUAUGAAUUACAAACAAUAAACUAUUGCUGGUAUUAAAUAGUGUAAUCUUAACCUUGAACAUGUACAGAAUUCCAAGAAAACUAAGAGGUAGAAAAACUGGAAAAUGUAUUCGUAUUAACUUUUGAAUAAGUAAGUUCACAGGUCCACUGUAGUAUUUUAGCUUGCUGUCAAAACUGCAGCCAGAAACAGAGCUGUUAGCCCAGGAGCUACAGGAGCCUGCUAGCUCAUCUUUUGAUUUUGUUCCUAAAUGAAAUAACUUCUAUUACCAGGAAAAUUUAAGUCAAAUUUCUUAAAAUAAGAAGUGUUAAGUCUACAAUAGGAAAAAAUCAUGAGUUGUUUUCAAAGUGGUCUAGUAAUGGGUUAUAUUACUGGCACUUAUGCACUAUGUGUGAUACUUGCUCUGUGCCUGAUUUUGCAUCAUCAUGUCACAGCAACACCUUUGCAGAGACUUUCCAUUUGUAAGAAGAAAUAGGAGUGGAAAUGGCUAGAUACUGAUCUUCAGCAGCUCCCAACCUGUCCAAAACCUUCCCGAUGGAUUAAAAAAGUUCGAAAAUCGUCUUUACAUGGAUUGCAGCACAGUCUGUGUAAGGCUCUGAACUACAGAAUCAUUUAAGCUGGAAGGGACUUCCAGAGGUCACUUUAUUCAGCUCCUGCUGCUUCUUCAAAAGACAUGUCGUGUUCCGAUCUUGUACACACAGACAAACACUUUAGAGGUGACCAGCUAAUGUUGGAGCCACAGCCACCACUUCAGAGAGCACAGGGAACAUGGAGUUAAACACCUGCUAGUUUGACUGGGCUGGUUUGUGUCUAUUUUUCAUUUGCUCUGAGUGCCAGUCACCACUGUCUAACCUUGCUAUCAGAGUUACUGAUGGUGUUCCAGUCUCCUCCUAGGCUGCUGCCUCUGUUGGUCUCAGCCAGGACUCAGUCUGCCAGGAGGAGUGGGAGACAUGCAGGCCUCCUCAGCUGUGGCAGGCACUGCCCCACGGUGCCUGCAGGACCCAGACGAGGCAGGCAGGCAUCCAGCACUGGCCCCUGUGUUUGCUGCAGGAGCUGUUGCAUGACAAGAGUUUGGUAUUGAGGGAGCUAGAGGAGUGGCUUCUGUGAGAACCUGCCAAAAGAUUCCUCCAUGGGCAACAAAGCCAUUUCCAGCCAGCUCCAGGAUGGCCUUGCUGCUGGCCAAGGCCGAGCUCAUCAGCAAUGGUGGUAGUGCCUCUGGGAUAACAGAUUUAAGAAAGGGAGGGAUCUUCUGGCCAACAGCAGCCAGAGAGAGGAGUGAGACUAUGCAGGAGAAACAGCUCUGGAGACACCAAGGUCAGUGCAGAAGGAAGGGCAGGAAGCGCUCCAGGCACCAGAGCAGAGCUUCCCCUGCAGCCCGUGGUGCAGCCCGUGGUGAGGCAGGAUGUGACCCUCCAGUCUGUGGAGGUCCAUGGGGGAACAGAGAUCCAGCUGCAGCCUGUGGAGGACCCCACACUGGAGCAGGUGGAGGCCUGAAAGGGGCUGUGAUCCUGUGGGAAGCCCAGGCUGGAGCAGGGUCCUGGCAGGACCUGUGGCCCCACGGAGAGAGGAGCUCACACUGAGCAGGUUUGCUGGCAGGACCUGGGACCUCACGGAGUACCCACUCUGGAGCAGUGUGUUCCUGAAGGACUGCAUCCUGUGGAGGGACCGACACUGGAGCAGAAGAGCUACAACCCCUGGGAAGGACUUAUAUUUGAAAAGUUUGUGGAGGACUGUGUCCUGUUGGAGGGACCCCCACACUGGAGCAGAGGCAGAGUGAGGAGUCCUCCCCCUGAAAAGAAAAGAACGGCAGAGACAAUGUGUGAUGGAUUGACCACAGCCCCAAUUCCUCAUUCCCCUGCUCCACUGGAGAGAAGGCGAUAGACAAAAUCUGGACUGAAGUUAAACCUGGGAAGAAGGGAGGGGUGGAUGGUUUAAGAUUUAGUUUUUAUUUCUAUUCUGAUUUGAUUGGUAAUUU